ACCCCCUGGCAAUGGGCAGAGACACCUUGGUGGUGGUGGUGGAGGUGUUCCUCCAUAGGUCAGGGCAGGGCAGAUGGCCUUUGCUCAUCCUAGCUUGGUGCCUGGCUUGGUGGCCAAAGCUGUUUCAUGCCUAGGGCACAUAA
ensembl:snoRNA LOC120102036 small nucleolar RNA SNORA48